UCCGGGGCCCUCCAGAGGCUCAGGGGGAUCCAUUAGAGCCCCGAGAAACAUGAGGAAUAAUAAAGAUACGAUUUAUUGCACCCACAUCAGGUUAUUACAAGAAGAAUACGUAUAAAAAUGAUGAUGAUGUUGGUUCAAUCCGAGGUUUCACUCCCUCCCUUCGGGGGGAAACCUUUUCAAAAUUCAGGGGAUUCCUCUUGCCUAAAAAAAAUGUUCCGUAAUCUCCAGUUUUGAAAACACACAGAAUAAAUUCAUUUCUUGUACUUUCCUGACUAAAUGUCUUCUGGACUUGCAAAUAAAGUGGUACCCCCCACCCCUCCAAAAUCUUCUCUUGGUAGCUAUUGGUUUCAGUUCAGGAAUUUCAACACAUGCCCCAGCAGACCACAAUUGACAAAGCUCAGUCAGUCUUAUGAAAUGCCUGUAGGGUGUAGGUGAAGUCUAUAGACACACAACAACCAGCCAUUAAAUGAGGAUUUAAAGGGAGCUGGAAAUACAGUGGACAUGGCAGUAAGAAAUUAAAGAAACAGCUGACAAAAUACUUCACGCACCUGAUCGACUGCUGAGGCCGUCUCUGCUUCGAGCUUCAUCCAUCCAGGUCCGUGGGUUGGAUCGAUGGGGUGGAGGGUCAAGCCGGGUCAUGUCGAGUUUGGUUGAGCGGCGACGGAGUGGCAGGAUCGGUGUCAAAAACUCCCCUUUGCCUGAUCCGAUCCCAGUGUCAGUCCCAUUUUUAGCAGCAGCUCCUGUCUCAGCUGUGGAUUUCUGGUGUGGUGCUGCCUCUGUGCCGACGUGCAGGUGCCUCUGGCGCAGGCAGUCAUGGCAGCGGGAGGGGUCAAAGACGUUGGGCUGGAACUUUGGGCAGAUGGGCUCAUCGCUGGAGACGGGCAUUGCGAGUAUGGAUGGCGAACCUGGACGAUCAUUGCAUCCCUCAGAGAAAACUGGGAAAUAAUAGGGUGUGAAGGAGCAGAAUAGAAAUGAAAAACAAAGCAGCAACAACACAAUUAACUUUGUUUUCAAUCAUUAGAAAUGUGUGGCACUCAAAAUCAAGCAAUGCUAAGCAAUGCAUCUUCCAUCUUUGUAGUGUGAGGUGAAAUAAACACAACAUUAAAGUUUUCUUGAGAACUGAAAUACUCUAAGCUGUUGAUUCUAGCUGUGACACUGCAUUUCUGGAGACAGGUGUAACCACAGCGCAGCGACUUAGAAUGAAUGUGCAAGAGGAUCUUUUAUUUCAUGGUUCAUGCAAGAUCUGAAGAGGAACUGUUAAGGCAGGUGAUAACUAAACACACUAGAAGACAGUGAAACAUAAUCCAGUCAGAGAGCUGUUAAAGCUCCCCACAGAGGAGCUUUACUACAAACCACAUGCUCUGUAAUCUAACAGCUUUUACGAAAACCACAGCUUCGAUUAAUGAAUGAACCUAUUAGGACAGUAAAAAGUGGGAUAAUUUAAAUAGCAGAAAAUAUUUUGCGAUGGUUUUGAUAUAAAAACAAUGAAGGAAUUAAUGAGCAUUACCUGACAAAGAAGCUCCGGCUAUCAGCUCCACUUUCAAUGAGGAGUGUGAGGAUAAACUGCCCACCAGACCCCCAUCAGACACAUGCCUCUUCUUCCCCAUGCUCUCUGUCCU